UCUGCAUUCUGCCCUCUGAGUACUUUUUUCCUCUGCAGCUGCUCCAAUGAAAACGUCCAUAAAGAGUUCAAGAAAGCCCUGGGAGCCAACUGCAUCUUUCUCAACAUCACAAACAGUGAGCUCUUCAUUCUGUCAACCACAGAAGCCCCUGUGAAGCGAGCAUCUCUGCUGGGUGAUAUGCAUUUCCGAAGCCUGCGCACCAAACUGCUACUUAUGUCCCGCAAUGAAGAAGCUACCAAGC
rnacentral:lncRNA from 1 species